rnacentral:lncRNA from 1 species
CCUUACCCGCUUGUUCCCUGGCUUCGAACGGAACGGAUGACUUUGCCUCAGGCAUGCUAACCUUCUCCUCCAGAAGCCCACAAUUCGUAUGGGGUGAGAAUUCAUAUGGAAUGACAGAGUUUUCUUGAGUAAUUGAGCAGAGCUUCCUCUGACUUUCCUACAGAAGGACAGGAGGAAGAGAACGGAGCUAAAGCAAUAUCUGAAACAAUUAUGGCUGAGAAAUUUCCAAAAGUGAUAGAAGACUUCAAGCCACAGAUCCAAGAAAUGCUAUGGAUUCCCAUGAAGACAAAUACAAAACAUUUAGAGCCCACCAAACAUGGAAACAGAGGAAAGGGAACCUCUGCCACUCCAGUGCAGCCUGACAUUCCUGAGAUGACUCAAGACACAACUAAACAAAUGGUGGUUGGAGAAAAAGAUGUAUAUGUGGGAUUGAAAGAAGAUAGGCAAGAACGAGAACGAGAACAGUCUUACAUGCCAAUCACGGGACGUGGACUUCCUCCUGACACAGUGGGACGAAAACAGUAUAGAGUGUGUUAGUACUCACUCACUUACUUAGUUCAGCCUAAUUCAGGUUCAUACAAAUUCCCCCUUUCCCUGUCUUUAGUGG